GUGGGGAAUUUUGGACAAUGGGCGAAAGCCUGAUCCAGCCAUGCCGCGUGCAGGAUGAAGGCCUUCGGGUUGUAAACUGCUUUUGUACGGAACGAAAAGACUCCUUCUAAUAAAGGGGGUCCAUGACGGUACCGUAAGAAUAAGCACCGGCUAACUACGUGCCAGCAGCCGCGGUAAUACGUAGGGUGCAAGCGUUAAUCGGAAUUACUGGGCGUAAAGCGUGCGCAGGCGGUUAUAUAAGACAGAUGUGAAAUCCCCGGGCUCAACCUGGGAACUGCAUUUGUGACUGUAUAGCUAGAGUACGGUAGAGGGGGAUGGAAUUCCGCGUGUAGCAGUGAAAUGCGUAGAUAUGCGGAGGAACACCGAUGGCGAAGGCAAUCCCCUGGGCCUGCACUGACGCUCAUGCACGAAAGCGUGGGGAGCAAACAGGAUUAGAAACCCCGGUAGUCC
rnacentral:rRNA from 1 species